GUAAAGGUUCCAAGGGGUUUAGUCCAAAGUCUUCUUGGCUCCAAAACCCCAAGGAAAGUAGCAUCUCAUCCUGAACUUAAAAGGAGUGAACUCCAUGCUCGAAGUAAGAACGUCCAAAAUUGAAUCUUUUUUCAGACCAUCUUAAAAAGCAUCAAAAGAGGGGAUUAGAUUACCUCUAUAUUCUUGAGGGACGCCUACUACCAAAUCCUUGUAAACUGCGAUCAUGUGAAAUUUCUCAGAUUCUGGGCUCUAGGAUGGGCCCAAUUGUAGUUUUGC